CUCUGGGGCGAUUCAUGCAAAUCAUCGGCGAGCUUCUUGCUCGCUCUGUGUCUCUGUGAAAGGCAAUGCAGACUUCUCUGUUGUUUGGUACAGGCUUCAGUUUAUUUGUUGUCUUUUGUUUGGUACAGGAUUUCGUUUUUUUUGUUGGCGUCAGUCCCGUGAGAGGAAGUCUUGAUUUGGAACGCUCGCGGAGCAGUCCAUCGCCCCCAUGUUAAGAGACCGGCCCGCGGAAGCGGACGGCAAAAGAAAAACAACCGCCCCAAGCGGACGGGAUUUAUACGUGUUUCGUCUUUCUCGAAGGACGCUCGCCGUGAAUGGAGUGCAUUGGAGUUGAUUCUGUCGGAGGAAAACAUGCCCCGUGCGUGUGGACAUGUACUAGGCGUACACACGGAGCAAGGAGACCCCACACUGACCGACACGGACUGACUCUUCAGAGCGCCGAGGAGAGAGC